rnacentral:rRNA from 1 species
GCAGUCGCCACGGUAAUACGAAGGUCCCGAGCGUUGUUCGGAAUCACUGGGCGUAAAGGGAGCGUAGGCGGCGUGGUAAGUCAGAUGUGAAAUCCCGGGGCUCACCCCGGAACUGCAUCCGAUACUGCCGUGCUAGAGGAUUGGAGAGGUAGCUGGAAUUCUUGGUGUAGCAGUGAAAUGCGUGGAGAUCAAGAGGAACACUCAUGGCGAAAGCGAGCUACUGGACAAUAUCUGACGCUGAGGCUCGAAGGCCAGGGUAGCGAAAGGGAUUAGAUACCCGGGUAGUCCCUGUCUCUUAUACC